UAUUUUGCUUCGUCCGUCUUAACACGUGUUGGCGUGUAAUUUGUUGUUGUUUUAUGGGUAGGGUGACAUAUUUUGCUUCCUUCUCUUUCGCGAUUCUCUUGAAGCGGAGAGAAUUUUUUGUUUCAAUUGCAAAAUUCUCAUUUUUUUUUGCUCCCGUUGAUUAACCAAUCUCCAAUCGAAGCUUCUGAUUAAACAAUCUUAGUCGGUUACGUUGAUUAAGCAAUCAGAACAACAAAUCCGAGCUUCUGAUCAAUCGACGAGGUUUGUGGAUAUGAAACCGUUGAGAGUCUUCUCCACCAAAUCGAAGCUUUACCUUCACUGCUACUGGAGAAUUUGAUUAACCAAUCUCCAUCUUAUGGGUUCCAUCGGUUCUCUUGUCAUCGUUGGUGUGACUCCGUUUUUUUUUUUAAUUUUCACGUCUCACAGGUUGUUUGCAAGGGGGACUCAUCGCACACACUUAGUUUCGUGAUGCAAGUCUUUCUUAUAAUUCAUCCCACUGGAUUGUAAAUACCCCUGUUUGAGCUUUCCGGUCUCCACAUGGCAGGGCUACUAUAACAAUUUUUGUUUACAUUGUUUAGGUGCAUACAUACGGUGUCCAUUAGAUAGUCUGUCCCAUGAGUGCCAGAGCUUGUUGGAGCUCAUUGGAGCUCGUUGGAGCUCAUUGCCAUCUAUGCUCUGCCAUUGCCAUCUAUGCUCUGCCUCCUCACCACGAUAUUUACUCUAUAGAGGAUCUUGCUCAGUUGAUCUUUGAUCUACACCAGGUAAUAAACAAACAGAUUAAUCCAAAUGCAAAAGUAUCAGUCAAGCUGGUCGCAGAAGCUGGAAUUGGAACAGUUGCUUCUGGAGUUGCAAAGGGUAACGCUGAUAUCAUUCAGGUACCAACUUGAGAACAAAACAUUGCCUCUUGCUUCUUCCAUGUAUUAUUGUAUCAAGAAAUUUCAUUGUUCUUUUUGAUAUGAUUUUCAGAUACAGGGCAUGAUGAUUUUUGUAACUUUGUAAUUUUCUUAUGUUUUUAAUG